AACGCACAUGGCGCCUUCCAGUAUCCUGGGAGGCAUGCCUGUCCGAGCGUCGUUUCAACCCUCGAGCCCCCGUGGCCCGGCGUUGGGGAUCUGCCACGGCAGGCCCCUAAAACCAGUGGCGGACCCGAUGGGCCCUCUCCUUUACGUAGUAGCAUUCGCCUCGUAUUGGGAGUCCUCGGCGUCCUGCCUCUAAACCCCCCACAAGCCCGCUCCGGCGGCACCAAGGUUGACCUCGGAUCAGGUAGGAAUACCCGCUGAACUUAA
rnacentral:misc_RNA from 1 species